UCAAAUCAAAAAGUCUUCAAUGGGUUUCUGGACUUUCUUCCUUGCAGUACCUUGAUUUUAGUGGUGCGGAUCUUUCUAAAGCAACUGAUUGGGUACAGGUAACAUUCAAACUUCCUUCUUUGUUACAAUUGCACUUGUCAGGUUGUAGGUUAGAAGAUGACCCAUCUUUCAUCAGUGUCAAUUCUACAAAAUCACUGAUUGUUCUUGAUCUUUCUGAGAACAGCUUAUCUUCAGUACCUAAGUCGAUAUUUAGUCUUCAUGCUCUUGUGUCCAUUGAUCUUAGAUGGAAUUAUUUGAAAAGCCCAAUUCCAGAUUACUUUGGGAACAUCUCGUUUCUUGAAGUUCUUGAUCUUACUCGGACUUCUCUUAAUUCAUCCAUACCCAACACCUUGUACAGUUUAAACCGUCUUCAGUUCCUUAGUCUUAGUGAUAACCAGUUACAAGGAACAAUCUUGAGUGCCAUUGGAAACUUGAGCUCUGUUACUCACCUUGAUCUUUCUUAUAAUGAUAUGUUGGAAUGAAGAUUACCAACCUCUCUGGAACAUCUGUCUUACUUGUCCCUUGCUCAAAACAAAAUUUCUGGUCCCAUUCCAUCAUCGAUAGGGGAGAUGUCAAAUUUGAAAUUCUUUGAUGUUUCAAAAAAAUCAAUUAACCGGUCAAAUUCCAUUGUCUAUAGGGGAUUUAUCAUCUUUGGAGUUCUUUGAUGUUUCAGAAAAUGAAUUAAAUGGUACUUUUCCUCCAUGUUUUGGACAGCUGAAAAGUUUGGAAACUCUGGGUUUUGGGUAUAAUCUAUUUGAAGGAGUUGUAUUAGAAACCUACUUUUCUAAUCUCACAAGAUUAACAGCUCUGAGGGCAUCACAAAAUAGACUUAGAUUUGAACCAAACUCAAGUUGGAUUCCCCCAUUUCAAUGUCACAUUAUUGAAUUGGGUCACUGGCAUCUUGGCCCAAAGUUUCCCCAGUGGUUAAAAUUCCAAAAGAAAUUGUUGUAUUUGGAUAUCUCUGAUGCAGGAAUUUUAGAUGUCUUACCCACUUGGUUUUUGAACCUUCCCACUCAGUUUGAUUCUUUAGAUCUUUCCUACAAUCAACUUAGUGGAGAUGUUUUGUAUUUGAAUGUAACAUUCUCUAUUGACUUUAGUUCAAACCGCUUUACAGGUCCAUUGCCAAGAUUAGUUUCAAAUUUAAGAUUUUUAUUUUUGUCAAAUAAUUCAUUUUUCUGGAUCCCUUUCUGAAUUAAUUUGUAAUCCAUCGUUAACGGGGAUUGGAGCUCUUGACAUUGAUACAAAUCUACUCAUUGGAGAAAUUCCAGAUUGUUGGAAUUAUUGGGGAAGUUUAGCUAAUUUAAAUUUGGGAAGCAACAAUUUGACGGCUAAAAUCCCACCUUCUUUAAGGCAUAAAAAUCUUUUAGUGCUAAACCUUCGAAACAAUAGCAUGUUUGGAGAAUUGCCAUCCACAUUGCAAAAUUCUACAAGAUUGAUUAUGCUUGAUCUUAGUGAAAAUCAUUUCAAUGGAAAUGUACCUGCAUGGCUUGGUGAAAAGCUCUCGAACCUUGUGGUUCUAAGCCUUCGAUCAAAUAACUUUGAUGGUCAUAUUCCUCACAAAAUUUGUGAUCUUCAAUAUCUUCAAAACUUGGACCUUGCCCACAACAACAUUUCAGGAGUUAUUCCAAAAUGUUUCAAUAAUUUAAGUGCAAUGGCCACAAAAUACAAAACCAAUAAUAAAGUUUCUGCGCAGUAUUCAGUUGUUUACUCAUUUUAUUUGAGUGCAUUAUUGGUGUUGAAAGGAAGAGAGGAUGAAUAUGGUACCACAUUAGGACUUGUUACCAGCAUGGACCUUUCAACUAACAGUCUCACAGGAGAGAUCCCCAAAGAAAUUGGUAGUCUUGUUGGACUCACUACAGGAAAAUAGGGCUUUAGCGGUGUUUUUAGUGGCGUUUUAUUAAAAAACGCCGCCAAAAUUUUAAAAUUCAGAGCAAUAGCGGCGUUCCAAAAAAAACGCCGGUAAAAACAGAACAAUAGCGGCAUUUUUUACUAAAACGCCGCUAAAAACAGAGCAUUAGCGACGCUUUAGGUAAAACGCCGCUAAAAACCAGGGCAUUAGCGGCGCUUUAACUAAAACGCCGCUAAAAACCAGGGCAUUAGCGGCGCUUUAGUUAAAACACCGCUAAAAACCAGGGCAUUAGCGGCGCUUUAGGUAAAACGCCGCUAAAACCCCAUAACCCCUAAACCUCAAAAAGAAUCAUAAACACUAAUCUCUAACCUCUAAAACAAAAAAUUAUUAAAAUUUAUGAUUAUACAAUAUAUUAAAUAUUUUCUUAUAUAAUCAUAAAAGAGAUAGUAUUGAAUUUAAAAUAUUGAAUUUAAAAUAUUGAAUUAAUUAUCAUUAUAGUUUAAGGUUUAUGGUUUAAGAUAUAUGGUUUAAGCUGGUUUAAUUAUGAUCAUUAACUAUGGUUUAAGGUUUAGGAGUUAACUAGUAUUUGAAGGUUUAUGAUGAAUUCGGGGUUUAUGGAUUAUGAUUUAGGGUUUAAAGGUUAGGGUUAAAGUUUAGAUUAAUGGGACAAUUAUUAACUUCUUAAGAGAUAAUUUCCUUUCCAGAUUCUUACUUGGGGUGCUAUUAAGAAAGGGUGAUUUUGAAUGUGGAAUUAGCAUUUUUUGAACUAUGUAUAAAUUCCAAGCUUAUAUAACAUAGAAAUAUCUUACAGAGUGGACAUUAUAACUAGAGUGUUCCAAUAGAUCUAGAGAAUUAAUUGUUUUAUUAAAGUUAUGUAACUUUGUAUAAAUAAUAAUGCUAUUGUGUAUUUUUAAUUAUCUAUUUUUUUUGUUUAAAUAUAUUUAGAUUAAAUAGAAUGUCUGAAAUAAAAUAUGUUAAAAAUUAAGUUUAGGUUAAGGGUUUAAGGAAAUGAUACUAUUAGCUUAAUUGAAGAACAUUUGGAUUUUACUAAGAUUCAUGUUAUUUUGUAUAUACGUACUCAUAAUAUUAUUUAAUAUAAGAAUAUAAACAUAUAUAUAUGUGUGUGUUUUAAUUUGUACUACACUAACAUUGGCCACACAAAUUCCCAAAAAUAUGUUUAUUAUGGUUUAGGGUUAACAGUUUUUUAGAGUAUACUUUAUAGUUUGGGCUUUAUGGUCUAGGAGUUAUGGUUGGUUUAGGGGUUACGAAUUGUUUUGGGGUUUAAAGUUUGGGGUGAGGGGUUUUUUGUUUGUGGUCUAAGGUUUAGGGUUUAGAGUAUUAGGUUUAGGGUUUUAAAUUUAGAGUAUAAUUUUGGAUUUUAAUUUAGAAGAUAAAUGUAUAUAAGAUAAAUAUAUAUAAAAUAUUAUUUUAAAAUAUAUAUAAAUAUAUAUAUGAAAAGUGGUUUAGUGUGCAAUUGUGUACAUGAACUGUAAUUUGAUCUAGAUCUUGUAAAAUAUUUACACGUUAUUGAUAUAAUAAACAGCAUCAUGUUUUUAUUUAAUUAAUUAAUUUAUAUGCAUACAUAAUAUGUAUUUUAAAAUGUGUAUUAAAUCAAAAUUAAAGUUUCAACUAUAGUUAGGGUUUUAGGGUUUAUAUAUAAUUUAAAAGAAAUUCUAAAUAUAUAGUUUUAAAUUUUGAUCAAUUUCUAUAAAAUAUUCAGGUAUUAGCAGCGUUUAUACAUAAAACGCCGCAAAAGAUAGAAAAUAGCGGCGUUUUUCUAGAAAACGCCACAAAAUUUCAUUAUACAUUAGAGUAAAACGGCGUCGUUUCCUCUAAAUAGUAGUGGCUUUAGCGGCGAUUCUAUAAUAAACGCCACAACGCGUAUUAGAACGGCGUCGUUUUAUAGUGUAGAUAAAAUAGGUGUUACUGGCGCUUUGCUGAAAACGCCGUAAAAGGUCUUAUUAGCGGCGCGUUGCUGAAAACGCCACAAAUUUUUCUUAUUUGAAACGGCGUCAUUUUUUCUCUCCUGAGGUUUAUGCCCUUUACCCGAAAUCGGUUUCAUUUUUUUUCCAAGUCAUUUUCCCCCAUCUCGUCUUCCUUCCCCAAAUCCCUAAAACAAACACCUUUUUUUCCCCCAAAUCAUCCCCUAAUUCCCCCAUUCCCGAAAUCCCUUAGCAUUUUCCCUUUCCUCUCGUCAACGGUCAGAUGCUUCAUGGGAAGAUAAUGGUUAGUUUUUUAGUCCCCUUUAGAUUAAUGUGUAGUUAUUGUAUUACUUGGCUUUUAUUUAUUUUUUUUGGAAUUAAGCUUAAAUGACUGAACUUGCUAUUUUGAACAACCACUUCCUUUCUUGAUAUGUAGUGUAUGCUGGAAUUUUAUUACGUCUUCUUCUCUUGUAGACUUUUCUGUCAUUCGUGUAAUUAAAUGUCUUUCAUGGAGAACUUGCAACUCGUUUUUAGCACAUUACCUCUGCUCUGAUUUGUUCAGUUGCUAUAGUAGUCUGGGAGUGAUUAUGCUCUAGCCAUGUUGCUUUGGCUUUUAAUUAUAUCCUCCAAUGGCAGCACUGGAAAACUUUUCCUUUAUUUCCAAAAACGUUGACCCACCACGGAUCUGCUGCUUUUUCUUGACCCUUUCAAAAUCCAUUCCAUUCAAUUCAAUUCAAUUCCUCCCAAUUCUUUGUAAGUUUUUUAAUCGUUACAGUCAAUUUUUUUUCUGAGAGAUCUUCACAAAGUUUCAAGCUUCUUAAGCAUUUCUUUGAUCUAGAAUGGAUAGUAAUUAUUCAGCUAUACCCAAAGGCUCAUUUGUAGAAUUACAAAUGCAUAAUGAACACCACGACUUUAGAUCCCAACAAAAAUCGCUCCUCUCUGAUGAUGGGAACCGGGUAAAUCAUCCCAAGGUUAUUGCUGAUUUUGAUGAUCUUAAUGAUGAUGAUGAUGUUGAUACUGAUGUUGAUGUUGAUCUCGAUGAUUAUACCCUUGUUUUAAGUAAACCCAAUACCAGGUCUGGUGUUUCUGGUGCUGUUUUUAACUGAACCACCACAAUUAUUGGUGCUGGAAUCAUGGCUUUACCUGCUACUAUGAAGGUUCUGAGGCUUGUUUUAGGGAUUCUCGAUCAGUGGUUAGGACUGGUUCGGUUCGUAAUGUCUGGGUGAUGUUAUUUCUGGUUCAGUUCAUCAUAUUGGGGUUCUCGAUCAGUGGUUAGGACUGGUUUUGGGGAUCAUAGGAAGUUAUUGGUUUUGGUUGUUAUGGCUGUUUUUCUUGCUCCAAUUUGCGUGUUAGAUAGGAUUGAUUCAUUGAGUAUGACUUCGGCUGCUUCGGUAGCUCUCGCUGUUGUUUUCGUUGUGGUUUGCUUUGCUGUUGCAUUCAUUAAGCUUAUUGAAGGGAAGAUAGAGGCUCCAAGGAGGAGCCCAGAUUUUGGAUCGAAAAUGGAAAUUUUGGAUUUACUAGUAGUUAUCCCUAUUAUGACUAAUGCAUAUGAUUGCCAUUUCAAUGUUCAACCUAUAUACAAUGAGCUCGAAGGUGAUGUUUUGACCAAUUUUGAUAGGAAUCUGGGAAUUCAUUUUAGCACUACUUUGAAUUAUAUUUGCUCUUCAUUUGGUUUUGGUUUUCCCUGUUAUUCACUUUUCUCUACGACAAACUGUGGAUAACUUGGUGUUUGAGGGAUCAGCUCCUCUCACGGAGAGUAAAAAAAGGUCUUUGGCACUAACAGUAAUAUUGUUAGUGCUUAUAUAUAUUGGAUCUACUAUGAUCCCAAAUAUAUGGACAGCUUUCAAAUUUAUUGGAGCAACAACAACUUACUGUCUUUUAAUAUGUAUACAAUAUAACUUACUGUCUUUUAAUGGUAUUGAGCUUGGUCCUAUUUCUCCUGUUAAUGUUAUACCAAAUUGCUAGCUGUUUUUUUUAAUCAUUUUAUUUGUUUAUUCCCACCUGUUAUUAUGCAAUAUAAUUAAUAUUAUACCAAUCAUUAAAUGUUGUUUAUUUUUAGAACUCAUUUGAUUGUUUUGUCGACCAGAAACAGGCUUUUGUUCUUCAAAUGCAAUGAGUAGGGAAGUCUCUCGACAUUAUUAAAGAUCAAUCCCAAGCAUCUCUAAAUAAACCCUCAAGAAAACAUUUCCAUUUCAAUCAAGGUAACAUGUUUUUCCUAACAUUUAUGUUUCUUUCAACAUGUUUUUCCUUUUAUGUUUUCAAUGUUUAAUUAAAAUUUAAUUACAUUCCUAAAUUUUUAAUGUUUUUCCUAACAUUUUAAUUACAUUCCUAAAUUUUUAAGCUUAUUUCAUCCACUCUUUUUUGUGUUUUGUCUCGAUUUGGCUUCCUUCGUUAAGUUUCAUGUAGAAGCUUACUUAUCUUUUAUUUUCAAGAAACAGAUUUAGGUAAUGGAAGAUGUAUGCCUGUGUGUUUGUGUCUCUAUAUAUGUAUGUAUUUGGUACUAGAUGAAAGCUUUAUUCCAGUUUUGAAAUAUAGACCAAGUUUUGCAUACAUUGAUCAAUUUCUGGCUCUUUUCCUUUGAAUACAUGGUUCUCUUGAUACUAAAUACUCAGGUACUUUCUGCAUAUUCUGUGAUUCUUAUUAGAUAAGUUAUAUAUCAACAGUUAUGUUAGUUUCCAUCAAGGCCUCUGUAAACAUAAAGUUGGUAUUCUGGUUAGGAGAAGUUAAUGUUUAUGAGUUUUGUGGAGUAUGAUUCUGCACAUGCAAAGUUGGUUUGUUUCAAUCUGUGCAUUUUCAUGUUUACAUAAUAAUGGUGAUUCCAUUUUGGUUAUUUAGAUGUUCUUUUGGUCUGUUUUCAUGUUUCUAUCCAACUUAUGUGUUUAGUGUGGACUUAGAUUGAUUUAAGAGUUUAUUGCUGUCUUGUUGCUCACAUUUUAUAUAAUAAAAUUGUUAUAUUUUGGUUAUUUAGAUGUUCUUUUGGUCUGUUACCAUGUUUCUAUCCAACUUAUGUGUUUAGUGUGGACUUAGAUUGAUUUAAGAGUUUAUUGCUGUCUUGUUGCUCAUGUUUUAUAUUGUUGAAUUCCUCUAUUCAUUUUCUUUCAGUUAUGUGAAGAAAUUGGCUGUGCUUUGAUUGCUUUCUUAUCCAUUUGUUUAUUAUUUUUGAUUGUUUGAAUUGGAAUUGUCCUGGGGUAGUUUUGCAUUUAUUUGCCUGGUACUGAAUGUUAAAAAAAAAGAAUUUACUGUUCUGCAUCCUGGAAAGGGACCUUUUGAGUUUUGAGCUUACUGGGCUGUUGUUUGGUUUUUCAAUCUCUGCAGUAAAACCAGGUUUAGAUGAAUUUACAGUUUUAUUGACAUUAUGUUCUAUUUCACCAUUCUUGAAAUUAUGUGAAGAUUCUUUCUAAUUUUCUCCUCGGCUGUCUCUAGAGUCUAGCCUAAUAUUGAUUUUUCCUUUUCAUGCAUUUUGAAUCAAAUAAAAGAAUUUUAGCAUGCAAGAAAAAGACACUUUACUUGCUUGUGAGAGUAAUUUUUCAUGGUCUUUUGGGAACCUACACAUUGGGUUGUUAACCUGUUCAUGUCUAGUUCUGUGUGAAUCAUUUUAUCCUCACUUGUUUCCUGUUGGAUUCUUUUUAGUUUCAUACCCUCCAUACUACCAAAAAGGAAGUGCUCUGUGAGACAAAGUCAAAAGUUCUAAGAAUUUUUUUCAUUAUAAAGUUUUUGUUCACCAAACCUAGAACUUAAUAAAAAUGAUGGUUGUGAAAUUUUAUAAAUAAUGUUCCUGAAAUGUUGGUAAUGAACCAAAAAAGAAGAGAAUUGCCUGCCAUGCUGAAAAUUCUUGUUGAGAGUCAAGAGAACAAGAGGUGGCUGUUGUCCUUAAACGAAAUUGUUAGUAUUGGAGUUUUUUCUUUUGCUUUCUGUCUUUAGAAUAUUGAUAUUAUUUCCUAUGAUGCUCUGAUUCAUGUGUGAGUGGGAAUGAGCAUGCUAGUAUUUGCUUGUACUUAUUCUGAAACCUGUUUUCAGAUGUAGGAUAAUGUGUUCGAUUUGGGCACUUUAGGAAAGUCAAGGUUUAAAGAAACAGCUGACUGGAUUUGCUAAUUGUGUUAUGUGCCUUGUAUUUACAAUUUUUUUGCAGAGAUGGAAGUCAUUUGUAUGCUCAUAAAAGAUUUUGUAUUUUUUUGCAGAAAUGGUUUGAAAAGAUGUGCAGUUUUGCCAGAUUUUGUUGAGUGGUACAGCUUCAUUUACUGCUUCCUACUCCUCCUGCAAGUAUUGG
rnacentral:lncRNA from 1 species